UUCACUCUGUCGCAGUACGCACGCGCCGCUUGGCAACUGCGAUGCGUCCCAUGUGAUCUUGUUCUUCCCCCUGAUUGGUGUACCCUCGUCUCCUCUGCUAGGGCUGCUGCGCAGCCUCUAUUCCACACACACGCCGCUCUGGCGUUCUAUCGCCAUGUUUACAGCAUGUACAGGUCACUAUCCAUCUGGCUCCACUGUGAUCUCCUUGUAUGAUAAUACAAGUACAACAAAGAAAUAGUAAAUCUUUAGUUCUAACUGUGGGACUUUGAAUACACGAACACAAUUUUUCUUUCACGGGAUGACUCAGCAAACAAUUCACAGCUUUUGACUACCAGACUUGCUGCUCUGUAACAUGGUAAUGAUUCUUGAUGACGCCGAGGAAGAAGAGGCCUUCUCAAUAAUAACGCUCCUAGCACCCCACAGGAAGACACUCAUUAUGCAUUCUAAUUAAAAAAGCCAUGGGAGAUUCUAUCACAGAGCUCACUGUACUAAAAAUUGAUUUUGCUCACUGGGCUUGGAAAGGAAGAUGGUACCGGUUGUUAACUCUCCCUUUGUAAUUAUAAUCCUACUAAUAAAAUAAAUUAAC